GGGUCUGUAGCUCAGGUGGUUAGAGCGCACGCCUGAUAAGCGUGAGGUCGGAGGUUCAACUCUUUCCAGGCCCACCA
rnacentral:tRNA from 1 species